AUUGAACGCUGGCGGCAUGCUUUACACAUGCAAGUCGAACGGUAACAGGCCUUCGGGUGCCGACGAGUGGCGCACGGGUGCGUAAUGCAUCGGAACGUACCCAGAGGUGGGGGAUAACGCAGCGAAAGCUGUGCUAAUACCGCAUGUGAUCUGAGGAUGAAAGCGGGGGACCGAGCAGCAAUGUUUGGCCUCGCGCCUUUGGAGCGGCCGAUGUCGGAUUAGCUAGUUGGUGGGGUAAAGGCCUACCAAGGCGACGAUCCGUAGCUGGUCUGAGAGGACGACCAGCCACACUGGGACUGAGACACGGCCCAGACUCCUACGGGAGGCAGCAGUGGGGAAUUUUGGACAAUGGGCGCAAGCCUGAUCCAGCAAUGCCGCGUGCGGGAAGAAGGCCUUCGGGUUGUAAACCGCUUUUGGCAGGAACGAAACGGUGUCCGCUAAUACCGGGCGCUAAUGACGGUACCUGCAGAAUAAGCACCGGCUAACUACGUG
rnacentral:rRNA from 1 species